AUGAACGCUGGCGGCGUGCCUAAUCCAUGCAAGUCGAGCGAACAGACGAGGAGCUUGCUCCUCUGACGUUAGCGGCGGACGGGUGAGUAACACGUGGAUAACCUACCUAUAAGACUGGGAUAACUUCGGGAAACCGGAGCUAAUACCGGAUAAUAUAUUGAACCGCAUGGUUCAAUAGUGAAAGACGGUUUUGCUGUCACUUAUAGAUGGAUCCGCGCCGCAUUAGCUAGUUGGUAAGGUAACGGCUUACCAAGGCAACGAUGCGUAGCCGACCUGAGAGGGUGAUCGGCCACACUGGAACUGAGACACGGUCCAGACUCCUACGGGAGGCAGCAGUAGGGAAUCUUCCGCAGUGGGCGAAAGCCUGACGGAGCAACGCCGCGUGAGUGAUGAAGGUCUUCGGAUCGUAAAACUCUGUUAUUAGGGAAGAACAAAUGUGUAAGUAACUAUGCACGUCUGGACGGUACCUAAUCAGAAAGCCACGGCUAACUACGU
rnacentral:rRNA from 1 species